GAAUUCGCCCUUAGAGGUUGAUUCUGGCUCAGGAUGAACGCUGGCGGCGUGCCUAACACAUGCAAGUCGAGCGAAGCACUUUACUUGAUUUCUUCGGAUUGAAGGUAUAGUGACUGAGCGGCGGACGGGUGAGUAACGCGUGGGUAACCUGCCUCAUACAGGGGGAUAACAGUUAGAAAUGACUGCUAAUACCGCAUAAGACCACAGCACCGCAUGGUGCGGGGGUAAAAACUCCGGUGGUAUGAGAUGGACCCGCGUCUGAUUAGCUAGUUGGUAAGGUAAGGGCUUACCAAGGCGACGAUCAGUAGCCGACCUGAGAGGGUGACCGGCCACAUUGGGACUGAGACACGGCCCAAACUCCUACGGGAGGCAGCAGUGGGGAAUAUUGCACAAUGGGGGAAACCCUGAUGCAGCGACGCCGCGUGAGUGAUGAAGUAUUUCGGUAUGUAAAGCUCUAUCAGCAGGGAAGAAAAUGACGGUACCUGACUAAGAAGCACCGGCUAAAUACGUGCCAGCAGCCGCGGUAAUACGUAUGGUGCAAGCGUUAUCCGGAUUUACUGGGUGUAAAGGGAGCGUAGACGGAGAGGCAAGUCUGAUGUGAAAACCCGGGGCUCAACCCCGGGACUGCAUUGGAAACUGUUUUUCUAGAGUGUCGGAGAGGCAAGUGGAAUUCCUAGUGUAGCGGUGAAAUGCGUAGAUAUUAGGAGGAACACCAGUGGCGAAGGCGGCUUGCUGGACGAUGACUGACGUUGAGGCUCGAAAGCGUGGGGAGCAAACAGGAUUAGAUACCCUGGUAGUCCACGCCGUAAACG
rnacentral:rRNA from 1 species